rnacentral:lncRNA from 1 species
AGAAGCUUCACAAGUUUCAUUUGCUCUCUUGUGUUGAUGUUACAAUAACCAGUUAAAUGCAUGGAAAUAUUUGAUAGUAGUUUGCUAUAAUAAACUUUAAUAAAGAUUAAAAGAAGCCUCAGAGAAAGCUACUGUUUAAGACAGAAUUCAUCAAGUAGCAGAAGUGAUGGAAGGGCCAAGGGGAAGAAAGAUGGACAAAACCUGAAAAUUGAAAGUGCAAUAAAAUGAAAAUUACAAAUGAAAACCAGUAUGCCUGAGAUAUACAUGACUGUUUAGUAGAGUGUCUUCAUGUGGGUUAAAGAAGAAAAGGAAAUACCAGCUGGAAUCAGCAGAACAGAUUUAGCACUUGACCCUUGGAUACUUUUCAUUCUAUUUAUCUAUCAUAUUUUUAUUGGUUUGUAUUCCAUUGACUACUAUAUGCACCGACCCUCAGCAAAUUCAUUCAAUAGAGAGGAGAGAUUAUAUCUCCACUGUAUCAGUGGAGCUGCUUAGGAACAUUUCUCCUGCUUCUUGUAUGUAUUUUGUCCUAUUUGUACAUUGUAUUUUAUGAGCUGCUUUAGAAUAGUAGAAUAACUUUCCUUUAUAUGGU